CUGGUUCCAAGGCAGGCAUUGUAAACAGGCAUUGCAGAGGAGAAACAACAUGGUGGCCCAAGGGAGCAAGAGCAAUAAAGCGGCAACAGUUCAUGGCAGCGGAAGACCACGAAAGCAAGACAAGUAAGAUCUCUUAACUAUGUAAGAGUUUUUCUUUUUCCACUAAGUGAUAAGAACAUAGAUUUUGCUUUUUCACUCUCUAAUAUGUUUUUAUAAAUCUGAAACAUUUCAUUAAAAAUACACACUCAUAGGAUCAUAAAAAGAUCAUUGUAAAAAAAAAAGAAUUGAGAUGUGUUGCAUACGUGUACCAACUCCCCACUAAGAAAUGAAACCAUUAUGUAUGGCAAACAUACAAUAACAAAAAUAAUGACUGAAAAAGAUCAUUGUGGAGAGCGAAUAAUCAAGCCUCCUUUAGACUAGCUCUGUGCUGCCCAUUUAGAGAUCUUGAACUCUUGUAAAAGUUGAACCCAUCCCAUCCAUCAUGGAAUCUCCUUAGUGCUUUUUUUUCUUGGAGUGAUCAAUCUUCUCCCCUUUUCUUCCCACUUCCCACCCCUGGACCCACGUCUCCUAGCUCAGAAGUCCAGAUGGACAGGAGGGUCACCACUCAGGUGAGCUCAUGUGUCUCUGUUGGGUGUGGUGGUGGAAGCAGCGUGGAGAGCAUGUUCCAUCUUAUAACUUUGUCAUGGAUGGCAGCCAGAGGCUCCCAGCCCCUUUGAUGUCCAGGUAAGAAUGUUUUGAAGUCCCCGGUCUCCGAGAUCUGAGAUCUGCAGAUCUGAAGCUCUCUCAGAGUUCUGCUAAUUCCUGCGGGGCAUUAAAGAAUUUAGGGCCAGUUUCUCUUGCUCUCUCUUUGGAGCUCUGGUUUCUGAGAGCAGUUUCUCUUUCUUCUUCCUGCCUUCCUGAACUCUGCCUCCUCUUCAUUGUGUUUAUUUUUUGUGGUACCAGGGAUCGAACUCAGGACCUGGUGCUUUCGAGGCAGGCACAGUGCCACUGAGCUACAUCCCAGCCUCCUCUUCAUUUCAAACUACAAAAAUCCACUUAGACCAGGGAUUGAGGACUUGACUGGCCAUUUCCUAGGGCAGACAGAGAAGGACUUUGAAAACCAAUAUGCAAACAUACCUUAAAGGACUCCGCAGACUUCACUCAGUACGUCUGCAGGCGACAUGCUGAGCUUCCUCGGGCUGCUUCCUUCUUCUUUCCCCGGGCACCACACUUCACAGUCUCCCAAGAGUCCUGUGCCCACUCUCAGGUUUUGGGGGGACCAAGGCUCCAUGGGGAUGAGCAUAAGCGCCAUUAUCUUCUCUGUUUUAUAAAUGAGGAGAUGGGGACUGCAGCAAGUUCGUGCAUGCUGACCGAGGUCCCGGGUAGACAGUGCAUGUGUCACUCGGAGUUGCACUGGAGCUCAGGGCUGGCACCAAAACUCAUGCUCAUAACCACUACGGAAUACAGUGACAGUAAGGACCCUAACCGGGCAGUCUCUCCACCCCACACCUCUCCCCUGAGCUCUGGUUUUGUUUUUUGUUUUUUUUUUGUAUCAGGGAUCGAACUCAGGUCCUUGUGCUUUUGCAGCAGGCGGAGAAACCACUGAGCUAAAUCCCCAGUCCUGAGCCCUGGUUUUGUUUCUGCCCAUUCCAUAUUUCUACCUGGAUAUCUAAUGGGCACUGGUGGUGGUUUUAAAAAAAUGUUCCCAAAUUAUUUGGUCCAACUUCCCCCAGUGAGCAGGGCUUAAUUUUCCUAUUCUUGGAUGUGGGCGGAAUUAGUGAUUUCUGUUAGCUAAGAGAAUGUUACAGCAAUGGCGGUGUAUGAUUUCUAAGACUAGUCACUGAAGGCAUUUUGACUCCUCCCUUUUCCUUGGGGGCCCUCUCUGGGAGAAAGCAGCUACCUGAGGAAAGGACACUCCCUGAGUCAUCUCUACCCGGGGCCUCCUGUCUGCAGCACUUCGGGCACCAUUUUGGAACCGGAUACUCUAGCCCCAGUGGGGAUUCCGGAUGAGCAGCCCCGGGGACAGCUUGGCUUCUGUCUCCUGAGAGACCCAAGCUGGAAUCCCCAGCUCACCUGCUCCCGACUUCUCAAACUCACAGAAACCAGGAGAUAAUAAGUAUUUGUUGUUUUAAGCUGGAGAGUUUGGGGGGAGAUUUAUUAUACAGCAUUAAUUAAUACAGCAUCUCCAGUUCGACUGUCAGAAGCUGCCCUCCCGAUUUUCAUUCCACAAACAUAAUCUUCCUCCUCUCUUCCCUAUUCAGAACCCAGCAAUGUCAUUCUUCUUCUUCAAAACUCAAGCCAAGACCUCAAAGUCAUCCCCAGAGCCUGCUUUACUUUCACAACACAAAUCUAGUAUAAGGACAAUUUUGAAAGCCUCCGAGGAGCCAGUUCCAGGGAUUGGAGCCAGCAGGAUCCUCUAAAAGUAUGAACCACGCAACACCAGCUCAUUACAGCCACUCCUCCUUGAUCUAACAAAGCUCCUCCGUGGACUUCCCUCAGGUCUUUCUUGAAACAGCAUCUCCUGGGAGAGGACUUGUCCGACCUCUAAGCCUUCCCCACAGUGUAUCUUUCACUUACAUUUCUUUCUCGUCUCUAGAAUGACAGUCCCCGAAAGGGGGCACAGUUGUUGUCUUCUCUAUAUACUGCUGUGUUCCCAGCACCUAGAAUUAUUCUUGACACACGAGUUGCUUUGGUGGACAUCAGGACAGCCUGGGAAGACAGCGAUGAAUCGGAAUGCUCAGGGCACCCAGCAGCAUCUGAGAGAGGGGAGGUGUUACUAAGAGGGACCCCUGUGAAUCCCUACUGCAUUUGACCCCUGCUCUUUCAACAAAAUUUUUUACUUCUGCUUUAACAGAGGCAAGGAAAAUAGUAAAAUAUAUUAAAGUUGGCUUGUAUUAAAAAAACCCUCCUUUGUAAUUAGGGCAGUAAAUUAUAGACACAGGAUUCCAUAUAGGCCAUAAAUUGAAUAUUUUAGAGAGAGUAGAGUUGGGCCGAGUGUUCCUUUGGGAAUGAGAGUUUAUUUCCUAAGCUUUUGUUCACUACAUCGUGAGUCUUUUCAAUAAAAGGACCUCCUUGCCUGACAGCCAGACAAGCCUUGGGUGAAGCAAGAAGGUUUUAUUGGGUGUGGUUAAACUCAGAAAAUGGUUCUCCGAAGAUACUUUGUGAUCAAAUGUUUGCUAAAGUCCUCUAGCAGUCCUGGUCAAUUUCAGAAUACCCAAGAAAGUUGAUACAGGUGAGGAAACCGGGCACACACACACACACACUCACACUCACACACAUGUGUAAGUGUUUUCACUCUGCUUUAAGUCGAUAAACCAGGAAAUGUCACCGAGCCGAGAAGCUGGAUGUAAUCAUGACUGCUAUCAGCAGUUCUUGGGAAGGUGAGCACUCCGCAAGAGCAGGAUUGAGACCCCAAUCCACCCAAGAUUGAUCUUAGAAUUCAUUCGUUUUUCUAAGUUAGGCACAUUUGUCCAGCCUUCAGUGUGAUGCACAAGGAAACAAAACUUGCUCAGGUCGGAGACGGCUCAGGGUUGUUCGGACUGGCUCGGGAGGGCAGAGGAUGGAGCAGUUCCAGGAGUCUGGGCAGUAGGAAGGCACCAAGUGUCUCAGGGGGAGGUUGUGGUGGGCCUGCUGCCCUGGCUGCACCCGACACGGUCUGGGGUGGGAUGGGCAGCCUCUGGGGAUGACCUACUGGGCCUCAGCUCUGGGUGUGAUGCCUUUGAGGGCUCACUGCACCUGUUGAC